GGCUGCAAUGAGUUGGAUUCAUGAGUUGGAUUCCGACGUCUUUCUUCCUUGUGCCGGGGACCGCCGUCUUCUCUCUGUGCGGGCUGCCUUCCUCCUCGUCCUUUCUAAUCUUCUCUCCGGCGUGCUUUGGGAGCCGCCGCCGCCGUCCUUGGCAUCGUCAAGUUGGAUCAUCAUUGUGCCCGAUCAAGCAUGUAUUUAACCCCCGAUGAGAGCUCGUUACUCAUUGCCGCUCUUUCCUCUUUUUCUUCCUUCCUUCUAUUUUUUCUCCUGCUCCGCUUGUCCGCUGCCGCGGCAAUGUUAGGCUUACAAGGCUAGUGACAAAUGUAUGUGUCUUUGUUUCUUUCCUUUGUCUCAUGCUUCCUUCUACUCCUCCUAUUCCGCUCAUCGCUGCCCAUGACACCGUUAGUGUUAUAUGGCUAAGUUUUCGCGUCUUUGUUUUUCUUUCCUCUCUCUCCUCCUUCCUUAUACUCCUUCUGCUCAGCUAAUUCACCGCCCACGACAGCCUUUGCGUUAUAAGGUGGUUUUAAAUGUUGGUGCAUUCGUUCUUUUUUCUUUUCUUUCCCUCCUCCUUUCUACUCCGCUCAUUCGCCGCCGCGACAAUGUUAGCAUUACAAGGCUAGUUUUAAUUAAUUGAUUGUGCCUUUGUUUUUUUUCCUGUCCUUUUUCCGUCUUCCUUAUAUUCCUCGUGAUACACACGCGACGGUCUUAGCGUCAUAAUUUACAAGGCUAGUGUCUCAAUGUUUGUGUCUUUGGUCCUUUUUCUUUUUCCUUUCUCUCCUCCUCCUGCUCCGCUCAUGCGUGCGACAAUGUUAGCAUUACAAGGCAGUGUUUAAAUUUUAUGUCUUCGCUUUCGGAAAAAUAUAAAAAUUGUACUUAAAGUCACAAAUAUAUUUUAGCCAUGCCGGAUGAGCACGGUGCUCUCGACUUCAGGAGCAACGCGGCACCGAUACUUUUCUGGUUUGUUGAAGCGCCAGAAAUUCUCAAAAAGAAACUGAUCACCUCGCGUGUUCUCUUCUGGCUAACUGGAACGCCAGGACCAGUUCAACUGAAACGUAUCCGCGCGUGAAA
rnacentral:lncRNA from 1 species